GGGGAGCAGUUGGCCGCGUCGUGCGUUGUGACGUUUGCGGGGCCGUGUCCUCGAAACCCCCUCGCCCAAUCCCCUUGCUCGCACGCCGCACCCCCUCCCUCCCUCCUUGAUCUCUAUCCCUCCUCAGCCGCCACAGCAAGAAGCCACGAAUCCUAGCCAUCUCCCUCUCUCUUUGCGUGUUCGUGCUCAUCGCCGCCAUUCCUCCCGCUCCCCGCCGUUGCCCUGCCGCCUCCACCGGCUAGGUACCAUGGAUCAUGGCCGAUGGGAGAGUACGCCAUCGUUGAUCCAUUGCUUAGGUUGGUGGCGCAUGGGUCGGGUCUGGGCAGAAGGCCGGCACCUGCAGGGGAAAACGGCGGGGGUUGGUGCAGCGGAAAGUGAGGAUGGGUUGGUCGUAGAGGGAGGCUCGCCGGCCAAAACAACCGGAGCAAGGAGGCAGUGUCGCCAUGGAGGAAGGCCCACUGGCCGGAGCAGCAGGAGCAACUGCAGCCGCUGGUCGGCCCGACGCACCGCCUCCUCUGCUGCGGCCCGCACGGUCAAGAGGGGCAGCUGCACCGUAGCUGGCGGCGAGUUCGGCGGCCGCCGCCUCCUCUCCUCUUCGAAUCCACAGGUGCCUAUGUGUUGUUCCCCUCGGUUGGAUUGUUCAUCCUUCUUCGCCGGUGGGGUGCUCGUCCAUUGCAGUAGCCUUCGUGUGCUGGAUGAACACUGCCGGUUGAGGUUGGUUUCUUCCCGUUGUGUCCUGCAUCGACAGUCGCAUCUUUCUGCCAUUGCCAUUGAGGUUAGUCUGCGCUCUGUUUGCUUGCAUGCAACAUGUUCGAUGAAAUGUGUGUGUGAUGACCUUUCUUUUUUUUCAUCUCGAUUUGCCUGCUGGUCCGCCUUGGUAUAGUCCUCUGUAUAGCAUGCUUUCUUGGCCUGGUUCUGCUUUCUAGCUCUGGUCUUUCUCCGUUUGUCUAGUAGGUUCAACGAUCUGCUAGGUUGCUGCAUCUGCAACUCUGUGUUGUUGUUCAUGGUUUGCUUUAUUCUUUCUUCCCUACAUGAUUGUUCUUUCUCGCUACACACAUGCUUCUCUUUCUCUAAGUGCCGUAAUACUGUUGUGAUGUCUCUAGCUACAUGCAUUUACCUUUCUUUGUCGGUCUAAUUGUCUAUUGAUGGGCCAUGGUUAUGUGAACUUUAAGAUGUAAUAAUAUAUGGUGUUUAAAUUUGUAUUGUUCAUUGGCGCCUAUGAUUUUGCCAAAGAGUCGUCUGACAUCCAAGUUUUUAUACAUAUUUUACACCAUUGCAGUCCAUAACUUGCUUCAAUCUUGUUACACAUUGGAUUGAAGAUAGGUCGUCCAUUUUUAUUGACUUUUUUUUGUACAUUGUGAAGUCAUGGCCCCAGUUUAUAUUCAUGUUUAGUUUGCUGUGUAGUUCAUGUAUGCUCUGUAAAGAGCAUGUAUAGCUAAUGGGUUUAAUUCGUUUGUUCCUUUUUUAGAUGUUCCGUAUCGGUGCAUAGUUCAACUUGAUCCAUACAGUGCCAGUGAUUUUGUAAGAUUUGCCCAUAUCUUUUGAGGAAUUAAUUAUGCUUCAGGAAGAUGCUAAAUAAGCUGGUUAGCUCUGCCUCUGGGGUAAAAGGUCAGCAAAUCUGCUUGGAUGUUCCUCUCAAGGUGAUGAGAUAUUGCUUGUUGUAGAGUACAUGCCUAGAAAGACAUAUCUUCCCCUGUGAGUAUGUUAACUGCUUGUGAGCAGGCCACUACUUUACAAAGUUUACUACAGCAGCAAGGAUGCUAUGCUUUGAUUAGUUGAGCCGCCCUCUGUUAUUUCGUUCAUGGGCAGAGUCGGUGGAGGUGCAGCGCCUCAGCAUGUCAAGGUAUAGGGAUGGAACCUGAUCCUUAUUUCAUAGUAUGUUUAUGUUCUUACGAUAAGUGACUCAUGUUUCUUCUGUGUAAUGCUAGGAUAAAGUUUGAUUUUCUCUGUACUACUCCAACUUGGUCCUAUCUCUAACUACAAAAAUUUUAUGUAUCAUUUUAAUUUAGAUUUAUUAUUAUUAGAAUUAGAUGGUGUGCAUUGAAUAUGAAAAUAGGGCCAAGUACUGCUAUGGUGUAUAUCCUGUUGAGUUUUCAUGGGAUCUUGAAGCUCACGGUUGAUCUCUUUGUAGCUUAUAAAAGAUAGUUAUAUCAUUUUACUGGAUGUAUAACCAGAAAGGUGGGCUAACAAACUGUAAUAUGUGACAUAAAAUAUGAUAAUGUAAACUUCCUUUAUUUUCUUCCAUGGAUAGAUCGGGUGGAGGUACACAGCCUCAAGAUGUCAAGGAAUCUGAUCCUUAUUUGACUGUGAACUUAGAAGGGUUUUCCAUCUUAUAAUAUGAUAAUGCAGGCUUCCUUACCUUGACCAGAAUUUAGCAUUUUGGUAUUGCCUCAUUACCAUGCAAUGUAGGCUACAUCACCACUUUUUAAAUAUAAGCCAUCAUUUGUGCCGGUCCUUAUCAAGCAGUUCCUUAUCAAAGGGGAUUUUGAUGUUCUCGCUGAAACAGAGGACUUGAAUUGAUGAUUUUUAGGAUUAGUAAACAUUAGCACAACCAUGAUUAUCCAGUUGAGAAAUCUUAUAUUUUAAUUGCGACAAGUAAUGUAGGCUGCAAGAGUUGUCUUUUAAGUAAUGCAAAUUCUUCUGUCAGUAGCUAAUGCUGUUUAGAAAUUUUGAUUUCCCAUUUUUUUGUAGCUCUCUUCAUUUUUGGCACUGGUAUACAUUUGUUUUAUAUCUUUCUCAUUGCGUUCAUAGCAUUUUGUCAUGUUUCUUCCUUUUUACAGAGCUAUUUUGAUGUUGUGUCAAGAAUUUUGGCUAAUUGAUGGCUCAAAUGAUUGCAAGCAUAUGAUAUUGUCGGCUGAGUGAUUGCAGGCAUAUCAACCACAGGAAAGCGUAGCACAGAAGAUUCUUGCCUCCCUUUUUUGUUUUGGUGUGAAAUUGCAGUCAAGCUACUUACAUACGACUCUUAUCAGGGCAUUCGAGAAUUUUCAAAUUGGGUCUGCUUCUGCUUUAGCCUGAUUUAUGUUUCUACUGUAGGUGUUGCUCUAUGGCAGUACAUAUUUUUUGCACUAUUGAAGGGAUAAGAACAGCGUGCUACCUAUUUAUGCUUUUAGUAUUGCUUGAUAGACCGAGGCCCUGUUGUGGAACUGAUAUUGUUUUUUAAAUGUUGGAACAAAUGAUGGUUUGAUCUAUGUGCAGUUGCAAUGUUUAUUUCUCAA